rnacentral:rRNA from 1 species
UACGGAGGGUGCAAGCGUUGUUCGGAAUUAUUGGGCGUAAAGCGCGUGUAGGCGGCUAUUUAAGUCUGAUGUGAAAGCCCGGGGCUCAACCUCGGAAGUGCAUUGGAAACUGGAUAGCUUGAGUACGGGAGAGGGUAGUGGAAUUUCGAGUGUAGGGGUGAAAUCCGUAGAUAUUCGAAGGAACACCGGUGGCGAAGGCGGCUACCUGGACCGAUACUGACGCUGAGACGCGAAAGCGUGGGGAGCAAACAGGAUUAGAUACCCUGGUAGUCCACGCCGUAAACGAUGGGUACUAGGUGUCGCGGGUAUUGACCCCUGCGGUGCCGAAGCUAACGCAUUAAGUACCCCGCCUGGGGAGUACGGCCGCAAGGCUAAA